AAAGGGGCUUCGGCUCCGAGUAAAGUGGCGCACGGGUGAGUAACACGUGGGUAACCUGCCUCUAAGACUGGGAUAACUCGUCGAAAGAUGGGCUAAUACCGAAUAAGACCACAGUCCCUGCGGGGACAGGGGUCAAAGGUAGCCUCUAUUUAUAAGCUAUCACUUAGAGAUGGGCCUGCGCACCAUUAGCUAGUUGGUAGGGUAACGGCCUACCAAGGCAAAGAUGGUUAGCUGGUCUGAGAGGAUGAUCAGCCACACUGGAACUGAGACACGGUCCAGACUCCUACGGGAGGCAGCAGUGGGGAAUAUUGCGCAAUGGGCGAAAGCCUGACGCAGCAACGCCGCGUGAGUGAUGAAGGCCUUCGGG
rnacentral:rRNA from 1 species